CAAUAAGCAAAGAAAAGAAGAGUAUUUAUAUUGCAUACUAUAGAGAGCAGAUGUUUGGUGAAAAUCUGUGUAUAAGAUAUAAAGAAUAUGGUCUUGGAGCUUCUUUAUUGAUAUGUAGAUAAAGACGUAUGCUGGCGUUAACAGCUUGAGGUGUGCAAACACAAACUAAGGUGGUACCACGAAGCUUUCGUCCUUGGA
rnacentral:ncRNA from 1 species